AAGUAUUUAUGCAUUAUUUUUUAUGAACUACAGUCCUAAAUUAAUAUAUAUUCUGGUGUGUGUCUGUGUGUAUUGGGUACUUUUCAGUCUUAUAUAAUUGGACAAACAGUUGUGUAAAUUUUUAGUCUGAAGUUUAUGAAAAUUAUGAAUUAUGAAACAAUUGUUUAAUUGAACAAUUAUGAAAAUAAUUGUUAGUUGCAGCCCUAAUUGUCACAAAGCUUUUAUUAAAAUCUGGGUCUAGAAUUCACAUUCUGUUGCUGUUUUUUUUUUUUUUUUUUUUUUUUUUUAAUAUUAGGUCCAUUCUAAGACAUAGUUUUCUCAAGUGGAAUUUUAUAGAAAGCUAUUUUAAUGUACACUCAGGGCCAAAAAAAUUUGGACAUUGACAAAGUUAUUAUUUUAUCUGUCCACCCAACCUGGUCACAGCCAUAAAUCACACAUACUUUACUAAAAGACCAUUCCCAGAAUAUGUAUUGUAACUUGUAUUUUUUCUGACAUAUACACAUUUUGUUGGUGGUCAUACAUAUAGGGAAAAUGCCAGGCUCAACACAGUGAAUUGGCCCCUUAUUGCAAAAAUAAAAAUGCAUUAGCAAACCCACAACACAACCUCCUAUCAAGUGUAAAAAUCUACACAAUUCUACAGGUGGUUUAUUAUGGGCAUAUUCAUACAUCAGGUUGCUAUUAUGUGCUAUUAUUAUUGACAAUGUGUGCUAUUUUACAAACAAAGGCCUGACUAGCAGACUAAGAUGGCUCAUGAUGAUUCUGUGCAUUCCAAUCAAGUUCUUCUACACCAAACUCUGGACCUUGGACAAAUGGACCUUGCUUUUAUACAGGAAGGCAUUGCCAUGCUAAACAGGAACGGGCCCAUGGAUACCUGUGUAGCAUUGCUCACUAGCCACUCUAUCAGGUAAGCCUUUACCUGACCAUAAACAUAAAUAGCCAAGGGGUCAUACAUUUGCAAAAUAAUUUUUGCCUGGAAUUACCUUUGGUAUCACCUGGUUUUCUCCAUUAAUUAUGUUGGCUUAACAAAACCAAUAUACUGUUUUGCUUUAUAAGAUGAUUAUUAUUACGAUGAUGAUGAUGUUGGCUUGACAAAGCCAACAUACUGUUCUGCUUUAUAAGCGUAUUAUUAGUGGUGCUUGCAAAGCAAAUCUUCAUAAUUGUUAUUGCUGUGGCCAAAAUUCCCAUUGACUUGCAUAAAAAAAUUCUGACCGUUAUAACUUCAGGCCGAUCACACUGGUCAGGCUCUCUUUUUCCAAAUUGAUUCCAACUCCGUUAUUCCCGUUGCUGAUGACGAAAAUGUCCAAAAACUUCCAUUCUCUUACAUUGAGGGAAUGUUCGGAACCUGGGUCUCGAGGGUUUUGUGGAUCUCAGCUCGGAUGCUGGCGUUUGUGUGCCUCAUGGUGCCAAGUUGUCAAAAUUCACACACCUGAGUGCACAUGGCCUGAAGCCUAAAAGUAUUGGAAUGCUGAGUAGCUCCUAAAGUAUUGGAACACUGUCUGGCUCUAAAAGUAUUAGAACUCUGUCUAGCUCCAAAAGUAUUGGAACACCGUCUAGCUCAAAAAGUAUUGGAACACCGUCUAGCUCCAAAAGUAUUGGAACACCGUCUAGCUCCAAAAGUAUUGGAACACUGUGUAGCUCUAAAAGUAUUGGAAUGCCAUCUAGCUCCAAAAGUAUUGGAACACUGUCUAGCUCUGAAAGUAUUUGAAUGCUGUCUAGCUCUAAAAAUAUUGGAACGCUGUCUAGCUGCAAAAGUAUUGGAACUCUGGCUGGCUCCAAAAGUAUUGGAACGCUGUCUAGCUCAAAGUAUUUGGACGGCUGUCUCCAAAAGUAUUGGAACGCUGUCUAGCUCAAAGUAUUUGGACGGCUGUCUAGCUCUAAAAGUAUUGGAACACUGUGUAGCUCUAAGAACAUUGGAACGCUGUCUAGCUCUAAAAAUAUUGGAACUGUGUAUAGCUCUAAGAAUGUUGGAACUCUGUCUAGCUCCAAAAGAAUUUGAACUCUGUCUAGCUCUAAAAACAGUGGAACUCUGUCUAGCUCCAAAAGUAUUCGAACUCUGUCUAGCUCCAAAACUACUGGAAGGCUGUCUAGCUCUAAAAAUAUUGGAACUCUGUCUAGCUUCAAAAGUAUUGGAACUCUGUCUAGCUCCAAAAGUAUUGGAAGUCUGCCUAGCUCUAAAAAUAUUGGAACGCUGUCUAGCUCUGAAAGUAUUGGAACGCUGUCUAGCUCUACAAGUAUUGGAACGCUAUUCAAGUAUUCAAACUGUCUAGUUCUAAAAAUAUUGGAAUGCUCUCUAGCUCUAAGAAUAUUGGAACGCUGUCUAGCUCUAAAAAUAUUGGAAUGAUGUCUAGCUGAAAAGUAUUGGAACUCUGUCUAGCUCUACAAGUGUUGAAAUGCUGUCUAGCUCUAAAAAUAUUGGAACUCUGUCUAGCUGCAAAAGUAUUGGAACUCUGUCUAGCACAAACUAUUGGAAUGCUGUCCAGCUCCAAAACUGCUGGAACUCUGCCUAGUUCUAAAAGUACUGGAAUGCUGUCUAGCUCUAAAAGUAUUGGAACGCUGUCUAGAUCGAAAAAGUAUUGGAACGCUGUCUAUCUAUAAAAAUAUUGGAACGCUGUCUAGCUCUAAAAGUAUUGGAAUGCUGUCUAGCUCGAAAAGUAUUGGAAUGCAGUCAAGCUCUAAAAAGUAUUGGAAUGCUGUCUAGCUCUAAAAGUAUUGGAACGCUGUCUAACUCUAAAAAAUAUUGGAACACUGUCUAGCUCCAAAAGUAUUGGCACGCUGUCUAUCUAUAAAAAUAUUGGAAUGCUGUCUAGCUCUAAAAGUAUUGGAAUGCUGUCUAGCUCCAAAAGUACUGGAACACUGUCUAGAUCUAAAAAUAUUGGAAUUCUAGCUCUAAAAAUAUUGGAACUCUAUCUACAGAAGGACUGGAACUCUGUUUAGCUGCAAAAGUAUUGGAACUCUGUCUAGCUUUGAAAGUAUUGGAACACUGUCUAGCUCAACAUAUUGGAAUGCUGUCUAGCUCUAAAAGUAUUGGAACGCUGUCUAGCUCUAAAAGUAUUGGAAUGCUGUCUAGCUCUAAAAAUAUUGGAACUCUGUCUAGCUCCAAAAGUAUUGGAACGCUGUCUAGCUCAAAGUAUUGGACCACUGUCUAGCUCUAAAAAAUAUUGGAAUACUGUCUGGCUCUAAAAGUAUUGGAACACUGUCCAUCUCAAAGUAUUGGAACACUGUCUAGCUAUAAAAAUAUUGGAAUGCUGUCUAGCAUGAAAAGUAUUGGAACGCUCUCUAGCUCUAAAAGUAUUAGAACGCUGACAAGCUCUAAAAAUAUUGGAAUGCUGUCUUGCUCUGAAAGUAUUGGAACGCUGUUUACCUCAAAGUAUAGGACCGCUGUCUAGCUAUAAAAGUAUUGGAACACUGUCUACUUUGAAAUAACCAUGCAACUGCCUAGCAACCACCCAGAACACCCUAGCAAUGCCCUAGCAACCACUCAGAACACAUUAGUGACCACCUAGCAGCAUACUAGCAACCACCCAGAACACCCUAUAAACUAUGAGGUAACACUCUAGCAAGCACCCAGCAUUCUCAAAGUAUUGGAAAGCAGUCUAGCUCCAAAAAUAUUGGAACACUCUAGCUCAAACUAUUGGAAUGCUGUCUAGCUCAAAAAAAAAGGAACGCUGUCUAGGUCCAAAAGUACUGGAACUCUGUCUAGCUCCAAAUGUAUUUGAACUCUGUCUAGCUCCAAAACUACUGGAAGGCUGUCUAGCUCUGAAAAUAUUGGAACACUGUCUAGCUCUAAAAAUAUUGGAACACUGUCUAGCUCUAAAAAAUAUUGGAAUACUGUCUAGCUCUAAAAGUAUUGGAACGCUGUCUAGCUCUAAAUGUAUUGGAACACUAUCUAGCUUUAAAAAAUAUUGGAAUACUGUCUAGCUCUAAAAAUAUUGGAACGCUGUCUAGCUCUAAAAGUAUUGGAAUGCUGUCUAAUUCUAAAAAAGUAUUGUAACUCUGUCUAGCUCUAAAAAAGUAUUGGAAUGCUGUCUAGCACUAAAAGUAUUGGAACGCUGUCUAACUCUAAAAAUAUUGGAACACUGUCCAAAAGUAUUGGAACACGGUCUGGCUCUAAAAGUAUUGGAACACUGUCUAGCGCUAAAAGUAUUGGAACACUUGCUAGCUCUACGAGUAUUGGAACACUGUCUAGCAAAAACUAUUGGAAUACUGUCCAGCUCCAAAACUGCUGGAACUCUGCCUAGCUCUAAAAGUACUGGAAUGCUGUCUAGCUCUAAAAGUACUGGAAUGCUGUCUAGCUCUAAAAGUAUUGGAAUGCUGUCUAGCUCUAAAAGUAUUGGAACGCUGUCUAGCUCUAAAAGUAUUGAACACUGUCUAGCUCUAAAAGUAUUGGAACGCUGUCUAGCUCAAAGUAUUGGAAUGCUGUCUAGCUAUAAAAAUAUUGGAAUGCUGUCUAGCUCGAAAAGUAUUGGAAUGCUGUCUAGCUCCAAAAGUACUGGAACACUGUCUAGAUCUAAAAAUAUUGGAACUCUAGCUCUAAAAAUAUUGGAACUCUAUCUACAGAAGUAUUGGAACUCUGUUUAGCUGCAAAAGUAUUGGAACUCCGUCUAGCUUUGAAAGUAUUGGAACACUGUCUAGCUCAACGUAUUGGAAUGCUGUCUAGCUCUAAAAGUAUUGGAACGCUGUCUAGCUCUAAAAGUAUUGGAAUGCUGUCUAGCUCUAAAAAUAUUGGAACUCUGUCUAGCUCCAAAAGUAUUGGAACGCUGUCUAGCUCAAAGUAUUGGACCACUGUCUAGCUCUAAAAAAUAUUGGAAUACUGUCUGGCUCUAAAAGUAUUGGAACACUGUCCAUCUCAAAGUAUUGGAACACUGUCUAGCUAUAAAAAUAUUGGAAUGCUGUCUAGCAUGAAAAGUAUUGGAACGCUCUCUAGCUCUAAAAGUAUUAGAACGCUGACAAGCUCUAAAAAUAUUGGAAUGCUGUCUUGCUCUGAAAGUAUUGGAACGCUGUUUACCUCAAAGUAUAGGACCGCUGUCUAGCUAUAAAAGUAUUGGAACACUGUCUACUUUGAAAAGUAUUGGAACACUGUCUAGCUUUAAAAAAUAUUGGAAUACUGUCUAGCUCUAAAUGUAUUGGAACACUGUCUAGCUUUAAAAAAUAUUGGAAUACUGUCUAGCUCUAAAAAUAUUGGAACGCUGUCUAAUUCUAAAAAAGUAUUGUAACUCUGUCUAGCUCUAAAGAAGUAUUGGAAUGCUGUCUAGCACUAAAAGUAUUGGAACGCUGUCUAACUCUAAAAAAUAUUGGAACACUGUCCAAAAGUAUUGGAACAUGGUCUGGCUCUAAAAGUAUUGGAACACCGUCUAGCGCUAAAAGUAUUGGAACACUGUCUAACUCUAAAAAAUAUUGGAACACUGUCCAAAAGUAUUGGAACAUGGUCUGGCUCUACGAUUAUUGGAACACUGUCUAGCUGCAAAAGUAUUGGAACUCUGUCUAGCUCCAAAAGUAUUGGAACGCUGUCUAGCUCAAAGAAUUGGAACAUGGUCUGGCUCUAAAAGUAUUGGAACACUGUCUAGCGCUAAAAGUAUUGGAACACUUGCUAGCUCUACGAGUAUUGGAACACUGUCUAGCUGCAAAAGUAUUGGAACUCUGUCUAGCUCCAAAAGUAUUGGAACGCUGUCUAGCUCAAAGAAUUGGAACACUGUCUAGCUCCAAAAGUACUGGAACUCUGUCUAGCUCUAAAAGUAUUGGAACGCUGUCUGGCUCUAAAAAUUAUUGGAAUGCUGUCUAGCUUUAAAAAUAUUGGAACUCUGUCUAGCUGCAAAAUAUUGGAACUCAGUCUGGCUCCAAAUGUAUUGGAACUCUAGCUCCAAAAGCACUGGAAUGCUGUCUAGCUCAAAGCAUCGGAAUGCUGUCUAGCACUAAAAUAUCUGAAUGCUUUCUAGUUCCAAAAGUAUUGGAAUGCUGUCUAGCUCUAAGGAUAUCGGAAUGCUGUCAAGCUCAAGGUAUUGGAACACUAUCUAGCUCAAAGUAUUGCAACUCUGUCUAGCUCUAAAAAUAUUGGAACACUGUCUGACUCCAAAAGCAUUGGAACAAUACCUAUCACCCUACCCUAGCAACCACCUAGCAACAGCCUAGCAAUCACCAUAACACCCCAGCAAACACCCAUAACAGACUAGCAAUCACCAUAACAUCCUAGCAACCACCCAUAACUGCCUAACAACUACAAUAACACCAUAGCAACCUCCCAUAACACCCUAGCAACAGUCUAACCAUCUAUUAAACCCUAGCAACACCAUAGCAACCACCCAUAACACCCUAGCAACACCCUAGCAACCGCCAAGCAACAACCUAGUAACCACUCAGAACACCCUAGCAACAGCUUAGCAACACCCUAGCAACCACCCAUAACAUCCUAGCAACUGCCUAACAACCACUCAGAACACCCUAGCAAACACCUAGCGAACACCCUAGCAACUGCCUAGCAAUACCCUAGCAACCACUCAGAACACCUUAGCAACCACCUAGCAACACCCUUACAAUCACCUAGAACACACUAGCAACCACCUAGCAACACAUUAGCAACCACCCAGAACACCCUAGCAACUACUUAGCAACACCCUAACAACCACCCAGAAUGCUCUAGCAAAACCCUUGCAACCACCCAGAACACCCUAUAAACCGCUUAGAAGCACUCUAACAACCACCCAGCAUUCUCAAAGUAUUGGAAUGCUGUCUAGCCCUAAAAAUAUUGGAAUGCUGUCUAGCUCCAAAAAUACCGGAGUUCUGUCUAGCUCUAAAAAUACUGGAAUGAUGUCUAGCUCCAAAAGUAUUUUAACACUACCUGCCACCCAACCCUAGCCACCCCCUAGCAACACCCUAGCAACAGCCUAGCAACCACCCAUAAUACACUUGCAACCAUCCAUAACACCCUAGCAACAGCCAAGCAACCACCCAUAACACCCUUGCAACAGUCUAGAAACCACCCAUAAAACCCUAGAAACACCUUAGCAACCACCCAUAACACCCUAGAAACCACCUAGCAACACCCUAGUAACCAUCCAGAACACCUUAGCAACAGCUUAGCAACACCCGAGCAACCACCCAGAACACCCUAGCAACCGCCUAGCAAUACCCUAGCAACCACUUAGAACACCUAGCGACCACCCAGAACACCCUAGCAACCACCCAGAACACCCUAACAACUGCUUAGCAACACCCUAGCAACCACCCAGAAUAACUUAGCAACCACCUACUAACACUGUAGCAACCACCCAGAACACCCUAGCAACUGCCUAGCAAUCAAUGUCAGAUUUAUUUAUAUAGCACCAUUAAACACAACCAGGUUUGACCAAUGUGCUGCACAAUAAAAAACAGGACACUUAAACAAUACAAUAUCAAUACUAAUAUACAGUCCAAUAAAACUUCCUCAUUGAUUAUAUGCCAAAUCAAAAAGAUAGGUUUUUAUUUUAGGUUUAAAAACAGAUAGUGAUGGUGCAGCUCUAAUACAGAAGGGCAGGGCAUUCAACAAUCUGGGGGCAACUACUGAAAAGGCACUGUCACCCCUACAUUUCAGCUUCAACUUCGGGAUGCACAACAAUCUCUGGUUGGAUGACCGGAGAGACAAAUCUGGAUGAUGUUCAGUCAGAAAAUACGAAAUGUAAAGAGAAGCUAAACCAUUUAAAGAUUUAAACACUAAGAGAAGAAUUUGGACAUUUACUCAAUAAUGCACAGGCAACCAAUGCAAAGAAUGUAAAACCGCUGUAAUGUGAUCUAGCUUUUUAGUACUGGUUAGGUCUUGCAGCCGCAAUUUGAACUAUCUGCAAGCAGGAUAGAGUUGACUGGCUAAUCCCAAAAUACAGUGACAUAUCACAGCAAACCAGUGACUACAUUUCCCAUCCUGCACUGAAGCCUACAAUGUCCGUCGUGGACUGCAAUUCCCAGAACACUCACAUUCAUUUUAAUCACGCACACCUGCAUCCAAUUCACAGCACUCACAACCACAGUAUAAAGAGACUGGUUCUACAUAAUAACUUUGCUCAGUUGCUUAGUCUCUGUUGUAUUUCCAAGCAUUAUCUCGUGUUUGCAUUUCUGAUCCUGGACUUUGUUUACCCUUUUACCCUGACUUCGAUUUUCUAUUCUCUGUUUACCUGGUCAUUUGACCCUAGCCUGCCUUGGACUUAGUUUUCUGCAUGAUCCUUUGUACUUCGUAUUGUCUGAUUAAACUGCCAUACCUGCACUUGCUUCCAUCUCAGCCUCAAUUACGUGACACACAGAGAUUUUUUUUGGUGUACUAAAAUAAUCUGACGGGGCAAACACUAUUAUUUCAGUUAAUUCAUUCAUAAUUCACUAUUAUUUCAGUUAUUCCAUUUUACUCUAAUUAAAAUUAAGAAAAAUUUAAUUGUAAAGACAACCAAGCAUUCACAUCAGACAAAUGGGUCCUUCCAAACCAUCAGAACUCUUUUUUUAAGGGCAGAUAGAUUUGAGUAUUAUCAUCAUCUGCAUAGCAAUGGAAUGACAGUCCAUGCUUCCUAAAGAUAGAAACCAAUGGGAGCAUAUAUAAUGAAAAACAAAAUGGGAGCUAAGAGAAAUCCCUGGGGCACACCACACAAUAGAGGAGUUUCCUCAGAUAAAUAUUCAACAAUGUUAAUAUUAAAACUUCUUUAAACCAUUUAAGAGAACUUCCUUUUAUGCCAGCACAGUGCUCCAAGCAAGCAAGAAGGACAGCAUAGUCCCCAGCCUCGCCAGUUAGUACAAUAUCAUUUAAAACCUUCAAAAGUGUGGUCUCUGUCAAGGAGUGUUUUCUAAAACCUGAUUGAAAAAAAAACCUCAAAGACCUUAUUUUCAUCUACAAAACUCAGCAGUUGUUGUAAAACCAUUUUCUCUAAGAUUUUUGUAAUAAAAGACCGAUUAGAAAUAGGUCUAAAAUUAGCUAGAACAGUAGGGUCUAAUUUCGGUCUUUUAAGCAAGGGAUAAACUGUGGCAUGUUUUAACACAUCAGUAUUACAACUAGUAAACACAACAUUACUAGUUUCAAAACAUUAAUUUAUCACAGUCAAAAACUAGGGACCCACUGCAUCAAAAACUUGUUUCAGGAUAUAUGGAGGAAUAGCAUCAAUGGAGAAGCCUGAUGGCUUUAACUGACCCACUAUUUCUUGAAGAUGUAUAAAAGAAAUAGGUUCAAACUGGCUGAACUCAGCAGUACAAACGGAGGGAAUGGAAGGCUCAAAAGCAGGGGGAGAUAUCCCCAAUCUGAUAUCAUUGAUCUCAUUAACAAAAACUCUAAGAAAAUCCUCACACACAGUUUUUGACAUAGCUGGGUACUCACAGACAGUUGGAUUAGCAACAGUGUUAAAAAUAGUAAAAAGAAUUUUGGGUUUAUGGAAAUUAUUGUUAAUGAUUUCCAGAAAAUAUCUGGAUUUCGCUACUCUCACUGCAUUCUGGAAUUUGGAUAAUGAAUCACUAAGUAUCUCAAAGGAAAUCGAGAGCCUGUCCUUUUUCUUCUACAGAUCUUCCUCAAAGAGUGUAUGUUGUCAAUCCAGGGCUCAGAUCUAGGUUUAAGUUUUCAAGUCUUUACAAGAGCCAUUGAGUCUAAGACAUUCCCACAUAUGGAACUGAGUCGAAAUAGAAGCUCCUCUGCAGUCAGAUGACAUUGGUUGACAUCCACUGAUUGAAUAACAUCACAAAAAGUGAUUGAAAACCUUUGCUAGUGGUUGAGGUAAUUAAUCGAGAUUGACAGACAUAUUUAGUGGUUUUAGUAGUAUUAGAUACCCAAGGAACAGAAAGCAUGACAGAUUUAUGGUCAGAAGACCCAUUAUCAAAUACUUCAAGAUCAUAAGGAGAAAUGCCAUAUGAUAGCACAUGGUCAAGUGUAUGUCCAAGCUGAUGAGUAUGAGUAUUUACAUGAUGUUCUAGAUCAAAUGCAUUAAUCAGAGUAAUAAAUUAUUUGGCUAAUGAGUCCACUGUGCAGCACACAUGAACAGUAAAAUCUCCAAGAAUUAACAGUUUAUCAUAUUUCGGUGUAAAUUCCCCCAAUAAGUCUGAAAACUCAUUUAAAAAGUCAGUGUUAUGCUUAAGGGGGCAGUAUGUCAGAGCAAUCAAAAGUGAGCCAUUCAGAUCCAAUGUAAACAGCUGCAGCUCAAACCUCCAAUAGAAAUAUUAUCUUUGAAAAUAGAGGUGGGGGUGAAAGUUCAGAGAAUGGACUUAAGUCUCCAGUAGUAAGCCAAGUUUCAGUAAUGAAUAAAAAAUCCAACUCCUGAAAAAGAGAAAAAGUCAUUAAUAAUAAAAGUCUUAUUUACCACUGAUCUUUCAUUAAGCAACACCAUCCUUAGCCGAGGCAGAUCCUCAAUCGACUACUCAAACUGCCGUAGCAGAGAAAUUGUACGAAGAUGGCUUGAACACAUUCCUCCACAACAGACACGGGGCAAGCCGUAUACAGGGAGCGGAGCAGCAGCAGCUGGAAUCAUUCAAAUAUUCCAUUCACAUACUGGAUCCAGAAAUCACAAUCCACAAAUACACAAGUUAAAUCAUGCUAGCAAUGAGCUAAUGCAUGCUAGCAGUGUGUUAAAACAUGCUAAUUCAUGCUAGGAACAUGUUAAAUCAUAGUAGCAAUGUGCUAAAUCAUGCUAACAACAGACUAAUUAAUGCUAGCAAAGUGCUAAAUCAUGCUAGCAACAUGCUACUUAAUGCUAGCAACAUGCUAAAUCAUGCUAGCAACAGGGUAUAUCAUGCUAGUCCAAAGUACUGUCCACGUCCAAAGUAUUGUCCUGCAAUAGUUUCAUUUCACUUGAGCAAAAAACCUAUGACUAGUUCACAAAAGUAGGUUUUUAACAUUAUCUGAAAUAUUUACUGAACGGUUUGUUAGACACCAAUGUUACUUGAGGCAAAUAUGUUUAGAAUGAGACGGCCUAUAAUUUGAUAUAUAUUAGUUAUGUUUGUUCAUGUUUGUUUGUUCGGUUAUAUACAACCAUGAACACAGACAAAAAUAGUGAUAGCGCCACCUAGUGGCCGAUCUCUCUAAAACUUUGCACAAACCAAAUCGGAUAUAUGUUUUGUUCGUCUGGUCCCAAGGAUUCCACAGAUAUAAGACUCUUGAAUAUGUGACAAACGAUUCAAAAGUUAUGGCCAUUUUUUAAAUAUGCUCACUAUAGUGCCACCGUCUGGCCGAUCAGGCCGAAACUAUGUGAUGCUGUAGUACUCUGGGGAAGUAACCUUCCUUCAAAGUUUCAGCUCUCUAGGCUUUACGGUUUGGUCUGCACGGUCAGUUUUAGAGCAGAAUAAUAAUAAUUAAAUUUUUAAAAAUUUUUAAAGAAUUAUAAAAAUCCUUACAACUACAAUAGAGUUUCAGCCCUUCGGGCUUGAACCCCUAAAAAGCAUAAUAAAAAUCCUUACAAUUACAAUAAUGAUUUUUUCCUAAAAUGUAAACCAACAUUCAGAAACCAGGUGGGAAACAAUAAAUACAGCCUUCAUACUUCCACAAUCAUUAAGAGAUUAAGAGAAAUUAGCAGCCAGGUUUUACUAACAAAAAGAGGGUGGGGAAACACAUAGAUUUUGUAAAGAAGAAGUCUUGUGUGGAAUGAUGACAAAACUGUAGUUUGUAAACUCUGUAAUCUCUGCACUGCUAAAAAUUUUACACCAGAAGUAGCAGCAGUGAAUCAUUUCGGCAUCGAGUCUAAUCUCCCUCCACGAAAUUAAAGGGCCAGUAC
ensembl:lncRNA